CUGUCUCGGUUCCUCGCCGUCACAACACCACCGCAUGUGGGCAGCUAGGGUCCGGCUGAAAUUAAUCGGUGUCAAUGAUGGUGGACGUAGCGUUGGGGGUGGCGGUACUUACGCACUAGAUGAUCCGCCGACCCCGAUCCGGCGACGAGAGAGCAGUGGUGGAGGGGUUGGCAUUUAACUUUUACUUCACUUCACAGCACCUCUUUUGCUCGUAAUUACCACCCCCCAACGGACCCAUCGAUUCGAUUCGAUUCGACGGACGGAACGAGCCGACGCGACCUCCUCUCCUCAGCGCCCGUAUACGAACGUAGGUAGAGCCUCAAUUUCUCUGCCUUUUGGCUGAACCACCAUCACCUCUUCUCUACCCCCUCCCCUUGCCCUGACGCACCCGCCCCCGCGACAGCGGCCGCCGCGCCAUGCGCCUCUGCCCUCCCCGCUCGAACUGUACCCUCUUGGAUUGCCGGCACGACGGACCCAGGCCGCCGGCCGGCUGGUUCUUCGAGAACGUCCCCGACAUGCCGAUGCGGCACGGGCCGUCCUAGCAGCGGUAGUACCCCGGGAGGCCGAGGCCGUUCAGGUGGGAGGAGCUGAGGGAGAGGCCCUCCGACCGCUCCUUACACGAGGUUUGGCCGUUCCACGACGAGUUGCCGUUCUUCUCCGCCGAGCUGAAACCGCGCCACCGCAUGCACUGUGUCCUCUUGCAAGACGACCCGUGCGACUGGCAGGCCCUCUGCCACUGGAUGAGCCGCGUCGACGCCGACGGCAGCUCGUACAGUUUCCGACUCCACGCGGCACAGCAGCUGCUGUGCGACCUACUCUACCCGGAGGCCCUCACGCGACUCGCCGGGUAGCCGUGCACCGUGGAGGCCCCGUAGUCGCCGCCGCUCUUCUUCGCAGACACGUAGCGCGACCUCUAGGAGUGGGCCGGCGCGGAGGAGAAGGAGCUACUCGGGUGGUCGCCAGAGCUGUCGCGGAGACGGAAGAGGCAGUAGCUCUGCGAGGCGUGUGAACGGUAACUACCGCCUGCGUGGUAACAGAGCAGCCACGUGGUCGGGUCGUCGCUCCAUAAGCGCGAGAAGCUGCUAGAGACGGAGGAGAGGUCACCGCUCUCACAGAUGAAGCCCCUACGGUUCGAACGUGGUGUCAAGAAACGUCUUUGGCCUAAGGGGACGGGCUCGGCCUCCUUGGGAAGGCUGGUGAAGGAGGCCACGCAGUUAAGCCUGAAGCUGCUACAGCGGUGCCGGGACUUUCCUAGGUACUUCGAGGUUCGUCUCCGUCUAGAACUAGGGGACAACUUCAUGAGCUGAUGCCUCUAGGCUCUCGCCGAGCACCUAUUCAUGGCCUAGAGUCUGAUGCGGUACUACCAAUCCUUGUGUUAUGUGCUCUAUUCGUUUUAUCUCCCACACUACCUCCUCCGUCACUUCCCGUCGGUUCGCUGGACCACGUUCGUCGACGCGUGCGACUGGUUCGCGAGGAUGUAGUUGUACAUGGCACUGAAGCCGAUGAUGUCCGACGCGUAGUAGUAGAUGCAGGACUACCGGUAGACGGAGCCAUGGUAGAUGAUGCUGCAGCCGUUGCCGAUGUGACGCUAGGUCCGCGCACGGAGCACGCCGCCGAAGCAGAGCCCGAAGUACUGCAAGUACAGGUAGCCGCCGAAGGGGAGGAAGUAGCUCCUCUACUUCCAGAAGAGGGAGCUCGCCGUCUUGCCGGUGAUGCCGCAGCGGCGGAUGUAGUAGAGGUUGAAGGAGAGGAGGUACGGCAAGGACAACUGGUACAGGACCCGGUCGCGGAGGUAGUGUAUGACCUACCAGUUCAAGGCCGGUCCUAAGUCGAUGAAGCGGAAGAAGCGGGAGUUGGAGAUACCACCGCAGAGGCAGUAGCUCUCGGAGUACUACUAGUAGAGGCGAGAACACGGGUUGAAGGAGUACCCCGAGUAGGAACCGCGGCCGCAGUAACCCUAGUACUACAACUGCAGACCUAAGAAGGCCGAGGAAGGUCUUGAAGGGUUCUAUAAAACCUUUAUGGGUCACAGGAUGUAACAGAUGCCUAGAACCCCAAACUUCCCACGUAUGUUCUUGCUGGACGAGCCCGACCUCAAGCUCGGCUACUGCGGCCCUCCCCUCUUCGACUGACCGCUCAAGUAGUAGUGGUUGUACUACCCCGACUCGCAGUCGAUGAGGUUCACCGAUCUGGAUCGGUACUAGAAGUAUGAGGAGGACCGGAUGGCGUAGUGGAAGAAGAAGCAGGAGUUCCAGUUCCUCCGGCGGCGCGGGAUGGAGGCGCAGCGGAUGUGCGCCAAGUGGCACUUCGCGGAACUCGCCGCCCGCAGGAAGUCCCUCAGCGACCGGUACUGCAGGAACAGGUUCGCCGUGUUGCGUGGCGUGGGGUACCGGUACGUCCUCCCCGAGUUGAGGGGGUACGUCGUCAUGACUGACCGGUUACAGUUACUCAUGGUCCUCGUCGGCGGGGCCGUCAACUCAACUAGUAAUGAUGUCGUUCUGCUAUCGGCGGGCACUGUACGCAGACAGUGCUAAUGAACACAUACGCAAAGGUGAACAAUCAAAACGAACGUCCGAACGCCGAAGCGACCUUCGAAGUUCCAAGUAUUUGUAUGCCUAUCACGUAAGAAAUUUUCAAACCAAAAUGACAUUCUUCAGCGACGUUGGUUAUGUCUAUGCUCUAUUAUAAUGCGGAGUAACAAAACGAGCAAACAAAAUUCGAGUGCAUGAAGUACGUGUAUAGGUUCCCUUUCCUUGUAUUGUUGACCGAUAAGUACACAUUUAUGACCACUUCGUGAGUUACGUGUAUUAUAGUUUAA
rnacentral:rRNA from 1 species